rnacentral:rRNA from 1 species
UACGUAGGGGGCUAGCGUUGUCCGGAAUCAUUGGGCGUAAAGCGCGUGUAGGCGGUCCGGUAAGUCCGCUGUGAAAGUCGGGGGCUCAACCCUCGGAUGCCGGUGGAUACUGUCGGGCUUGAGUACGGAAGAGGCGAGUGGAAUUCCUGGUGUAGCGGUGAAAUGCGCAGAUAUCUGGAGGAACACCGGAGGCGAAAGCGGUCCACUGGGCAACUUCUGACGCUGAGGUGCGAAAGCUAGGGUAGCAAACGGG